AUUGAGCCUUGGUAUGGAAACCUACUAAGCGAUAACUUUCAAAUUCAGAGAAACCCUGGAAUUAAGAAAAAUGGGCAAUCCUGAGCCAAAUCCUACUUUCCGAAAACAAAGGUUUAGAAAGCGAAAAAAAAAAAAGGAUAGGUGCAGAGACUCAACGGAAGCUGUUCUAACAAAUGGAGUUGACUGUGUUGCAUUGGUAAAGGAAUCCUUCUAUCGAAACUUCAGAAAGGGUGAAGAAUAAACCUAUAUACAUAUGUACUGAACUACUCUAUUAAAUGAUUAAUGACAACCCGAAUAUGUAUCUGUAUUUUUUGAUAUGAAAAAUAGAAGAAUUUUUAGGAAUUGAUUCCACGAUCAAAUCAUUCACUCCAUAGUCUGAUAGAUCUUUUGAAGAAUUGAUUAAUCGGACGAGAAUAAAGAUAGAGUCCCAUUCUACAUGUCAAUACCGGCAACAAUGAAAUUUAUAGUAAGAGGAAAAUCCGUCGAUUUUAGAAAUGUUGAGGGUUCAAGUCCCUCUAUCCCCA
rnacentral:ncRNA from 1 species